rnacentral:rRNA from 1 species
AUUGAACGCUGGCGGCAGGCUUAACACAUGCAAGUCGAGCGAGCGGCGGACGUGUGAGUAAUGUCUGGGAAACUGCCUGAUGGAGGGGGAUAACUACUGGAAACGGUAGCUAAUACCGCAUACCAUCAGAUGUGCCCAGAUGGGAUUAGCUAGAAGGUGGGGUAAUGGCUCACCUCGGCGACUAUCCCUAGCUGGUCUGUGAGGAUGCACAGCAAAACUGGAACUGGGACACGGUCCAGACGCCUACGGGAUGCAGCAGUGGGGAAUAUUGCACAAUGGGCGCAAGCCUGAUGCAGCCAUGCCGCGUGUGUGAAGAAGGCCUUCGGGUUGUAAAGCACUUUCAGCGAGGAGGCGUUACUCGCAGAAGAAGCACCGGCUAACUCCGUGCCAGCAGCCGCGGUAAUAC